rnacentral:rRNA from 1 species
GACAGAGGGUGCAAAGGUUGUUCGGAAUCACUGGGCGUAAAGCGCGUGUAGGCGGCUUGGAUAGUCGGAUGUGAAAUCCCGGGGCUCAACCCCGGAAGUGCAUUCGAUACUGCCAAGCUAGAGUCCUGGAGAGGAAGGUGGAAUACUUGGUGUAGAGGUGAAAUUCGUAGAUAUCAAGUAGAACACCGGUGGCGAAGGCGGCCUUCUGGACAGUGACUGAUGCUGAGACGUGAAAGCGUGGGGAGCAAACAGG